GGUUUCUUGAUGUGUUUAAGAGAUUUAACCUGCCCACUGAAUAUAGUUUUGAAGGGCCGCAGUAUUUUGACUGUGCAAAGGUAGCAUAAUCAUUAGUCUUUUAAUUAGAGGCUGGAAUGAAUGGUUGGACGAGGUAAAUAUCUAUCUUAUAAUAAUUAAAUUUUGAAUUUAGAAGUUAAGUAAAAAUACUUAAAUAGUGUUGAGGGACGAGAAGACCCUAUAGAGUUUAAUAUAUUGAAUGUUAAUUGAGUUUAAUAAUGUAAUUUUUGGUUAAUACAUCAUAUGUAUUUGGUUGGGGUGACUAAAAGAUAAAAAUAACUCUUUUUUAUAAUAAAUAAUUUAAGUAAGUAAGAGAUCCACAAAUAGUGAUUUUAAGAUUAAAUUACCUUAGGGAUAACAGCAUAAUUCUUUUUGAGAGUUCUUAUCGAAAGAGGAGAUUGUGACCUCGAUGUUGGAUUAAGAUAAAUUUUAGGUGUAGAUGUUUAAUUAUUAGGUCUGUUCGACCUUUAAAUUCUUACA
rnacentral:rRNA from 1 species